rnacentral:rRNA from 1 species
GGGGGCACCAACCGGAUUAGAUACCCGGGUAGUCCCAGCCGUAAACGAUGCUCGCUAGGUGUCACGCAUGGCGCGACCGUGUCUGGUGCCGCAGGGAAGCCCUGAAGCGAGCCACCUGGGAAGUACGGCCGCAAGGCUGAAACUUAAAGGAAUUGGCGGGGGAGCACAACAACGGGUGGAGCCUGCGGUUUAAUUGGACGCAACGCCGGACAACUCACCGGGGGCGACCGCAAUAUGUAGGCCAAGCUGAAGACUUUGCCUGAAUCGCUGAGACGAGGUGCACGGCCGUCGCCAGUUCGUACUGUGAAGCAUCCUGUUAAGUCAGGCAACGAGCGAGACCCGUGCCCACUGUUACCACAUGUCCUCCGGGACCACGGGUACUCUGUGGGGACCGCCGGUGUUAAAUCGGACGAAGGUGCGGGCCACCGU